UACGUAGGGUGCAAGCGUUAAUCGGUAUUACUGGGCGUAAAGCGUGCGCAGGCGGUUAUGUAAGACAGAUGUGAAAUGCCCGGGCUUAACCUGGGAACUGCAUUUGUGACUGCAUGGCUAGAGUUUGGCAGAGGGGGGUAGAAUUCCACGUGUAGCAGUGAAAUGCGUAGAUAUGUGGAGGAACACCGAUGGCGAAGGCAGCCCCCUGGGUCAAGACUGACGCUCAUGCACGAAAGCGUGGGGAGCAAACAGG
rnacentral:rRNA from 1 species